rnacentral:rRNA from 1 species
GAGUUUGAUCCUGGCUCAGGAUGAACGCUGGCGGCGUGCUUAACACAUGCAAGUCGAACGAAGCACCUUAUUCUGAUUUCUUCGGAAUGAAAAAUUUGGUGACUGAGUGGCGGACGGGUGAGUAACGCGUGGGUAACCUGCCUCAUACAGAGGGAUAACAGUUAGAAAUGACUGCUAAUACCGCAUAAGACCACGGCACCGCAUGGUGCAGGGGUAAAAACUCCGGUGGUAUGAGAUGGACCCGCGUCUGAUUAGCCAGUUGGCAGGGUAACGGCCUACCAAAGCGACGAUCAGUAGCCGACCUGAGAGGGUGACCGGCCACAUUGGGACUGAGACACGGCCCAAACUCCUACGGGAGGCAGCAGUGGGGAAUAUUGCACAAUGGGGGAAACCCUGAUGCAGCGACGCCGCGUGAGCGAAGAAGUAGUUCGCUAUGUAAAGCUCUAUCAGCAGGGAAGAUAGUGACGGUACCUGACUAAGAAGCUCCGGCUAAAUACGUGCCAGCCGCCGCGGUAAUUC